UACAUAGGGUGCAAGCGUUGUCCGGAAUUAUUGGGCGUAAAGAGCUCGUAGGCGGUUUGUCGCGUCUGCUGUGAAAACUCAGGGCUUAACCCUGAGCCUGCAGUGGGUACGGGCAGACUAGAGUGUGGUAGGGGAGAUCGGAAUUCCUGGUGUAGCGGUGGAAUGCGCAGAUAUCAGGAGGAACACCGGUGGCGAAGGCGGAUCUCUGGGCCAUAACUGACGCUGAGGAGCGAAAGCAUGGGGAGCGAACAGG
rnacentral:rRNA from 1 species